CUCCGCCCGCCCCCAGCGAAGAGAAACAAAACACAACCCCGGCACCGCCACGCUCUCCCUCCUUCUCCUCUCGGCAUUUGGUGGUUGUUUUUAUUUUUUUUAUUAUUAUUUAUUUUUUCUUUAAUUUUUUUUUUCUUGGGGAUUCUCCUCUCUCCUGCCAGACUGACUUACACGUUCUUGAUAAUUUCUCUUCCCCUCAUUUUUUAUACUCUUCUCCCUGCUUCCAAACCCUGUGUCUGUGUGUUUCAAUACUAUUACAACCUCUGCUAAAAAUAGAUCUUUUUAUACCCUUCCUCCUCUCUGACCCCAUCCAACACCCCUUGUUAAGGUAACUAUCUUACUCCAAGAACAAGAAAAGUAAAUUCACUUGGCUGUCCCACAUCUCUAAGGAACCUGAUGCAUGAGUGGAGUAGAGAAGAGGAAGAGAGAAAAACUCCAGAGACCUACAGAUCAUCUGGCUGGCAGGGUCAAGUUUUCUUUGGAUUGAGGUGGAACUGUGGCUCAUGGACAUCUGAUGUGAUAGCCUUCCUUAUUCCAAGUCUCUGUGGCCUUAAAGAGAUUCAGUUAUUGACAUGUAGAGCAUACUCAAGACUUCUAGAUAUCUUGAGACUGUAAAAGCUGACCACCAACAGAAGGUUUUUAAAUAUCAUUCUUCUGACAAGUAAGUUCUUCAUUCUCAGAUUAUUUAUUUAUUUUUUUUUUCUCUGUGGUAUUCCUGACCUGGAUUUUAUUUUUGUAUUUAUUAUGUGGACUAUCACAUUCAUUUUCUGGGCCAAGUAAGCAUGAGUGCAAAUUGAAUAGUAUGGAAUUGCUCCUAAAUUUCCCAGCUAGAAUGAAACCUAUCAAUAUUACAGCUAGAGCUGAGAUAAAGCACUGACUCACCUAAUUAUCCCAACUUGCAGAGCCAGUGGAACUGAGGUCAUAUCUCUGGAUGUUUUGGGAAACCUUUUGCCCUUUUUUGGUUGGAAAAAUUAAAUUAGUUAAAUAUUUGCAGGAUCUUGCUGGAUUUAGGGAAAGAAAGCUAGAAGAACUUGGAAACUGCUGGAAAUAAUAGUGUCUGAGGAUAGCCUCUACAGUUAUAGGAAAGAGUGUUAGAAGAACUGGUGAGGAUUGGGAAAAGUGGAGAAGAAAAAAAAUUUGCAUUGGAAUGAGGAAGACAAUCCUUACUGAGAGGAAUAGAAAAGAAAGUUCCUUCCUGUUCAGGACUUGUUGAGAAAGAGCUUCAGAACUUAUUAAAAUUUUAGUUUUCAUAACACCCUGCAUUUUAAAACACAAAGUUAUUCUAAACAAUGAAGUUCACUUAGCCUAACUUCUUAAGUGAGAGAUCUCUUUUGGAGCAGCUCCAGAGAGCACUGCUCCAAAACAUUAAUGCAGAUUCUCAUAGCACUACUAAAUUUCAUCUUUCUUUCUAGCUUCAUAAAAUUGCUUUAAUUACUAUGUUAUUUUCUACUUCGUGGAAUAUAUUUCACUUAUUUCACUUCAGUGAAUCCAAUAGAUUUUAUGAAAUGGAGAAAAAACCCCCACCUGGUUACAGGUUGGUUCAAUUUUGAAAGUCAUGUUUUAUUACUCUGUGAUUGAUUGGUGUUGAAAUUUUAGGACUUUCUUU
ensembl:lncRNA